AGCACCUGGCAGAGAAGGCACCAUGAUCAAGAAGAUUAUUGUUUGGGGAUGAGGCUCAUCUCCUCCACUCCGGGUGUGCUGACUUUACAAUUUCCCAAAACACAGGAAAUUUGACUGCGUAAUUUGUGGUAGUGGGGCACUACGCUCAUAUUCUUCCCUG
ensembl:snRNA U1 U1 spliceosomal RNA